UAUCAUUAUUAUCAUUAUUAUUAUUAUUAUUAUUAUUUACAGUAUAGUCUCUGGUAUGACUGCAGGUAUUACAAACCCAACCUGCAGUGACCUAUGACCUCCUCCUCCUCCUUCACUCUCCCUUCCCUCACUCCUGGAACAUGAAUCAACAUUAAUAUCACUAUCAGUCACUGGAUCAUCCACUGAUCCAUUAGUUAUAUUCUCUAACUCAUUCACUUCAACCAAUAAACCACCAACAGUAUACUUCCUCUUCCUAGCUGAACCUCUUCUCACUAUAUCAGUUCAUGGACUCACACUAGUAACACUCCCUGACUCAUCUUGAUUUGGUAUGGAUGCCCGUCGAGUGGCUCCGGUGACAUUGAUGUCAUCAUUCACUAUUGUACAUUCUGUACUGAAAGGUCAUUGCAAAGACUAUGCCAAGCAGUGGCGUAGCUAGAAUAAAUAAAGAAAGAGGGCACAGUGGGGGCACUGACUAAAGCAAUGCUCAAGAAUACUCAAUAUAUUGCAGGGGCACAAGAAGCAGUUAUGAGGGCACUUGCCCCCACAGGCCCCUAUGUAGCUACGCCACUGAUGCCAAGUCAGCCAUUGGACAAGCUGUCCUCCAUUUAAGUAAAGUUAAUGAAGAAGCACAUAAUGCUGAUCCAGAAAUGUACUCACACGCUGUAAGAGAAGAGGAGAAGGGAGAGGAAGAGAGGGAGAGAGAGGGACAGGGAGGGAAAUGGCAGAGAAGUUAGGCACACACACACCUACACAUACACACACAUACACAGUUGAUCUAUUUAUUACAUUUGUACACAAUGAAGAGGUGUACUGCUAACACUCUCUCAAUGUUAGUGCUAGUAACAAUAGAACAUCAUUUACAUGUAAGUAGUACACAUAUACAGUGCACAAACAAACCAUUAACAAACGAAACACACUACAUGUAUAAUAAACAGACAAUAAAACACCGGCAGUAAGACAAUAGAGUAGUUACAUUGUACAUGACAUACUCUUAUGAAUGAUUUUAUUAUAAGAAUCAGCACAAAAUAGACAAGUAAAAGAACUUUAUUGUACACAUUAAUUGUUCAUAAUAAUAAUAAUAGUCAGAUAUGGGAGAAUAGUAAUAAUAGAAGUAUUUGAAGAUGCUAGUGCAGGCAACAAGUUUUGUGUUGUGUAGAAAGUGCAGAUUCCAAUUAAAAUUGGAUUUUUAACUAUUUUUAAAAGUUGCUUCAAAUCAGGGCAAAUACCCUACUACAGUAUAAGGUC